GAUGUACUCCCUCCGUUCGGAAUUACUUGUCUCAGAAAUGGAUGUAUCUAGAACUAAAAUACGUCAAGAUACAUCCAUUUCUGCGACAAGUAAUUCCGAACGGAGGGAGUAGAGG
rnacentral:pre_miRNA from 1 species